rnacentral:lncRNA from 13 species
AUGGGAUGCUGGACAUUCCUCCUGAGAAACCCAAGGAGGAUAUUAAAAAGACAGCCACAGUUUUCCUACUGCUUGCUGCCAGAUUUCUUGGGGGCCCAGCUGCUGUGGGCCACCGUAAGAAUGAAAUGGAGGCAGCUUGCAUGGGUAAUGGAAAGAACAUGGGAGUUUGGAAUUUGGAAGGUCUGGAUUCCAAUCCUCGGUAUUCUUAGGGCAUUCCCAAGAAAACAUCUGCACACAAAUCCAGGCAUUUCUCCUUGGACUUCAUCUCUGACUUCUCUCCUGGCUUCUGAACCUCUGUGGACUUGGCUUGGGCACCUCAUCGAUAGGCCAAGGUGGAAGGCGGCAAAACCUGGGCUCCUUUACGCUUCUCACUCAACAGUUACAGAAAUGCAAGUUGGGACCUUUUACGCUAAAGAUAACAUCCAUGUGUCCCAUUGUACUUUAAAAUGGCAAAGAAGAUUUCUCCUCCCAGGAAAACUGUUCUAA